UCAUAACAAGAGAAAUUUAUUGCUCACAGUUCUGGAGCCUGGGAAGUCCAAGAUCAACGUACCAGCAGAUUCAGAUGAAGGCGUGUUCUCAGCUUCAUAGGUGGUGCAUUCUUGCUGCUUCUUCACAUGAUGGAAGGAGUGAACAAGCUCCCUUGGGCCUCUUUUACAAAGAUGGCAAAGAAGGAGAGAAGAGAAGAAGUAGCCAGACAUUGGAAAGAAACAGCUUGACUUCAGAGGAAUGGCUUGAUGGUGGGACUUAGGAGAAGUGUACAGCAGGGGACUGCUGGACUCCAUGGGAAGAUCACCUUCCCACUCCAUCCCCCUUCCAGCUCCCCAUCCUGCUGGGAGCCACUUUCAUCAGUAAUAAAAUUCUCCGCAUUCAUCACCCUUCAAUUUUUUCAUGCAACCUUGGUUGCAAGGACUCAGGUGGAGAGACGAAGGAUCAAGCAAUGUGACUGGUAGAAACUGUGUUAUACAAGGUAAACCAAGAGAGAAUUGUGCAAAAAUGUCUUCAGGGUCACUUCUUUCCCUAACUUGGUCCCUCAGAGUUCUUUCCACUAGAUAUCCAGUGUGUUCAACCUAACUCCUAUCUGCAGUGGGCCUCCAAAUAUUGCACCCCUAUGGGCAGGGCUGUGUGUCAUUUCCCUGGCCCCUAUCUGGGUCAAAACUGUCAUUCCUCCAGGGACCUGCUGGGCAACUAGCAAACUAAUCUUCAAUGUAUUUUACCCAAGGUGUUAAUGACAGAUAAUGGCUUAAUGCAUUACCCCUCCCAGCUAACAUUUCCAUUUUAAUAGAGCCUUUAAAUGCUUUAACCUGAAGGAAACAGCAUGAAAAAUGCAGGGAUAGCAAAUAUCUGGCACCUUUGCUCCUUCCCUGUUCCUGGAAGACAUCUUCAAAUGGUCACUGAGGCUUUUCCUGCUAUGCCUGGACAUACCCUGAGAAGCCCAUAGGGCCCUGGGCAGCCCCUACCAGCCUAUGAUGGGAGUUACCAUGCAAGAUGAAAUCUAUUUGCCAACCUUAUCGUGAAACAAAUAUUUGUCCAGGAGUAAAAAGACCUGAAUUCUACUUUGGGGCUUUGACAUUACCUGGACAUAGGGCCUAAACAAAUUUAUUAGACAUUUCCAAGUCUCAGUUUCCUUACCCAUAAAAUGAGAGGACUGGCAUUAGAGUCAAGCAUUUCCAAAGCAUAGUUCUCAAUCUGCCAGGGACUCUCAAAAUCUGACCUCACAGCUCUCCAAGCUGGUUGCUGCUACCACGUACCUCUUCCCAUUUUUGCCUUGCUUCCCACAAGGGAAGGAAAUUCACUCCCAACUGGGCACCACCUUUCUAUCUCUAUUUGGGGACCUUCCUGUCCCUGAAAGGCCCUGGGAACAUAAUGUAAAGCAACUAUGGGGGCAGCUGCUAAGAAGCCAGAUCUUGUGACACUAAGAGUCCAGUCACGUGGUUCAGAGUCCACAGCAACCUGUGGCGACUAUGCAGUCAUCAGCCAGAGAGGCAGAGCCUCUGUCUGGAGAUGUGUCAGAAAUGGGUGUGACUAGUCCCAGACACAUCAAGUGAGGAAAAAUCAGGUGUGCAGAUUACGUUGUGUAAAUGCCUUUCUAAUUCUCAAUGCUCCAGGAAGGAAUCUCAGAGAUUAAAUUAAGCUGUUAACCCUCUAGGCGCUCCUGUCGUUUAUUGUUAAGGAAUUAAUAGGAAUGCGGGAAUGCAGAUGGCCUGGCUGUCAGCUCGGAGAGGCGAUUUUUCUGAUCUCCAAGGAGGUUUCCAGCAUCUUUCAUUAAGCACUCGUGUACCAACUUGUCAUUUUAACCGAGCAGCAAAGAAACUCCCACUCAACUGCCUACCUCAGGUGCUGGGAGUGCAAUCCUCGGAGGAGUCUUUCUGGGUUGCAGGUGCAGGGGAGGCGCCCAGGUGAUGGGGGUGGGGUGCAGCGAGAAAUGGAUUUAAAGCCACUCCAGGAAGGAAAUCGGAUCCCAAAACCUGGUUGUCCUGGGCACAGGCUUCAGGUGACUGCAGAAGAUUCCUCUCUAGCAAUCCUGAACUGAGCAGAGAUGUGAAAACUUACUUCUUUCCGCUUUCUCGAAGCGCUCCAGGACGCAGGUGGCACGCUCAACGCGGGGAGGCGCCACCUACAGGACAGAGGAAGACCUGCAGCUUGGGCUUGAGAUUUCAACAGUCUGUGGCGGGGGCUGAUGAGGGCGGCCCCUCCUCCUCCUGGAGUAAUAAUAGUCCCUGACAUUUAUCGAAUGCUCUUCUCGUGCCAGACACUGUCCUGAGCACUUGACAUGUAUUAAUGAUUUUAAACCUCACAACAACCCUAUUAGCAUUCAACUCUAUGGGCCCUCAAUUCUGCAGCUUUGGUUUACCAUUUUUUGAGACUCGCUUACUCGUCUGGAAAGGAAAUCUUUGCUAAGCUUGGUCUCUUGCACCUCUACCCUUUGCCACGAGAAGAGCAUGCCCUUGUCACUUCGGCCUGAGUCCCAGAAUGAGAAGUUACAUGGAGCAGACCUGAACAAGAUUCACAACCUGAACAGAAUCACUGCAGCCAAUCCACAAACCUAAAAUUGUCUACAUUCCUGCCUGGGCAUGGUGGCUCAUGCCUGUAAUCCAGCACUUUGGGAGGCCGAGGUGGGCGAGUCACUUGAGUCAGGAGUUCGAGACCAGCCUGGCCAACAUGGUGAAACCCUGCCUCUACUAAAAAUACAAAAAAUUAGCUGAGCAUGGUGGUGCAUGACUGUAAUCCCAGCUACUUGGGAGGCUGGGUCAGGAGAAUCGCUUUAACUGGGAGGUGGAGGUUGCAGUGAGCCAAGAUCACGCCACUGCACUCCAGAGUGGGAAACAGAGCAAGACUCCACCUCAAAAAGAAGAAGGAGAAGGAGAAGGAGAUUAUCUACAUUCCUGAGGAGGAGAAGUUGUACUUAAACUACCUUGAUCCAACUUCCAGCUUUACAAUCAUUGCCCCCCACCAUGCAUAUAUCAUACAUAUAUACCUGCUAGCAUGAAUACCUGCAUCAUAUCUAGAAUUAAUGGGAAUAGUCAUAGGGCCAAUCUUUCUUAUAUCAAGCAAGCUGAACAAGGGUCCAAGGGAUAAGGCCACAGCUACUUCCUCCUGCUUUAGAACAGAGCUAAAUAAACCUGUUCCUAAGUCUUGUGAGUUAUUGCAUCCUUGCCUUAUAAGGAAUGAAGACUUAACCUGCUUCCUGGCAGUCAUUACUAACUGAGUGAAGAUUCCCAUUAAUCCAGAAAUGGGAGCCUCUCUGGCUUGCAUAUGUCCAGGAAUGGACAUACCACCCACAGUUUUACUCCUGGUGGCCAAUCGGUCCCGCACACAAACACAGGCACAUCUUUUAUUUAAUGCUCAAGAUUUGUGAACAACUCCCAGCACUGUGCCUUCCAAAGGGCUUGCAUUAAGUGCUGGUGAAGGAGCAGGGACCUCUAUCAUGGCCAGAGCCAGUCAAUAAUGACACCCUGGCAGCUCUCAAAGGUGCACGAGUGGAAUGGCCAUUGAGCUACUCCAUGCAAUGAAAAGUUCUAAUGGGGAGUGGGGACACUUCUCUCCCCAGUCCCAUCCCAUGGCUUGGCUGAAAAUUUUUUUCUUUUGGGAGAUCACUGGCUUUCUCCAGCAACCUUGACUAUAAGGAUGAGGAUGAGGAGAAAAAAUAAGAACUGCCGAGUGUGGUGGCUCACGCCUGUAAUCCCAGCACUUUGGGAGGCUGAGGUGGGUGGAUCACAAAGUCAGGAGUUCAAAACCAGCCUGGCCAAGAUGGUGAAAUCCCGUUUCUACUAAAAAUACAAAAGAAAAAAAAAUUAGCCAGGCGUGGUGGCGAGUGCCUGUAAUCCCAGCUACUGGUGAGGCUAAGGCAGAGAAUUGCUUGAACCAGGGAGGCAGAGGUCACAGUGAGCCGAGAUCAUGCCACUGCACUCCAGCCUUUGCAACAGAGUGAGACUCUGUCUCAAAAAAAAAAAAAGUACACAGGGGAGGUUGUGGGGAAUUUGGAAUAUUCCCUAAGGAUUUCCUCCAUUGAAGAGGUCUGCUUUAAAGUACUGGGGGUCCACAAACUCACCCCAUUUCCAGCUUGGCCUUGGGAGAAGAGGAGGACAGAGAACAGAAUUCUGGAUUGUUACUAGGUAGUUGGGCUGCAUCAGGAAGACAUUUUGGUAGAAGGAGAGGAAAGAGAGGUAGGAAGUGGGAAGGGAAGCACUAAGGGUUUUUUUUUUGACCCUGAUCCCCUUAGCUAGACAAGCUCAGUGGGGCUUAGGAUGGAGGUCAGGGAUAGCCUAAGAUCCUGUUACUGAAAGGGUAGUCUCCAGCCAGCAGCAUCAGCAUCACCUGGCUCUUAGGCUUCACCCCAGACCUACUGAAUCAGAAACUGCAUUUUAAUCCCUAGGUGAUAAGUAUGUCCAAUAAAAUUUCAGAAGCAUUAGCCUAGAUGCUUCAAUGGGAAUAACUUCUUGCAGUGAGCUAUUGAGGAACUGUGCUGGAUAAUCUCUCUGCCCUUCCAAAUCCACUUGCCAUCCUUAUUCCCCUGCUCUUGGGACUAAGAAGUGAAUUGAUGAAUUCGCUUCCUUUAUUCAUUGCUUCAACAGGCUCCCUUGUCAUCUGGCUUCUGGUUGGGCUCAGCCAAUGGUCAGUGCUCAAGAAGCAGUGACUUAAGUGACAUUAAUAGUGACUUUACCAGCCAGGCAGGGUGGCUCAUGCCUGUAAUCCCAGCACUUUGGGUGGCCAAGACGGGUGGAUCACCUGAGGUCAGGAGUUUGAGACCAGCCUGGCUAACAUGGUGAAAUCCUG
rnacentral:lncRNA from 1 species